rnacentral:rRNA from 1 species
AAGGUAGCAAAAUCAAUUGUUCAUUAAUUGUGGACUGGUAUCAAUGGCUUGACGAUAGAAAAACUGUCUCUUUCUACUUCUUUAGAACUUUAUUAAAGAGUGAAGAAGCUCUUAUAAGUUAGCGGGACGAGAAGACCCCGUUGAGCUUUAGGUGCUUAAACUUACUCAAAAGUUUACCACUUUUGGUUGGGGCAACCGAUUUUAAUAUUAAACAAAAAUAAUCAAAAAAUGAAUUAAAUCUUAUCUUUAAGCCUUAAUUUUAAGAAAAUAUAAUAAGUUACCACGGGGAUAACAGCGUAAUUUUUUUUGAGAGUUCUUAUUGACAAAAAAGUUUGCGACCUCGAUGUU